GGAGUUUAAAUGUUGCUGUAAAAUUCAACACUAGUAUUUCCAGACACCAUAUCUUUCCAUUGACAGUAGAACAGAUAAACAACAUUUAUGUAAUACACUAAAAUGCCUCUGAGUUCUGCUGUCACUGACCCCCACAGCUAGAUGGUCAUUGUAUUUUUGCUUGUUUUUUUUUUUUUUUUUUAAGUGUCAACAUUUCUGUAUACAUUUCAUAUGUAAAUCUUUGCAUAGUCCAUUGCUACUAAUAUGACUGGCUGACUCAGAAAACAGUCUCACAUCCUUGAUCAUAGGUCAGCGACUACAACGUUGAAUGAGUUUUAGAGCAAUAAUAUUUGGGUAACAUUCCUUAGCAUAUUCAAGAUUAUGCAUAAAGUAAGUUUGUGGAGAGGGUUCUCAAAAAAUAUUUUUCCAAUAAAGUUGCUUUAUCUAAUUGUGUGACGUUUCUAACCAAACCUUUCAGCAGGAGGGCAGACCAGUUGUUGAAGGGGCUUUCACCCUCUAACAGAGUGACCAAACAAUCUCUGCUCUGGAACACCUUGCCGGUUCCUUGAGAUGUAUAUGAGGAAAGUUAGGUGCAAACACCUAAAGCCUGUAAUAUCUAGGGCCUGGUCUACAUGUAAAACUGAGGUGUACCUAGCUACAUCAGUUGUGUGGCGUGGGGGUGAACAAAAUUCACACCCUUGAAAACCAUAGUUAAGUUGACCUAAGCCAUGAUGUAGACAUCACUAGGUCAACUAAAGCAUUCUUCCAUCAACCUAGCUAUCACCUCUUGCAGGGGUAGAUUAAAUAAAAUUACAGAAAAAAUCCUUCUGUUGCUGUAACUUCUGUAGUAUAGACACAGUUUAAGUUAGGAGGGGGAAAGGUAGUGUUGAAGUGUGAGAGACAAGGGGUGUGUGAAGAACAUGAACUUCAUCAGUAAUCUCUAGGAAAGGAUGCUGGAGUUGGUCAUGGACAGGGCCAGCUUUAGGCCGAUUCCCGGGAAUCGGGCCCUGUGCCUUAGGGGCCUUUUUAAUUUCUUUUUUUUACUCAUCCGGCACCUGUAGGGGAGGGGUCCUUAGGUGCUGCAGAAGACCCGGAGCGGACCCCCCCACCUCACCCCGCCGAAGUGCUGCCAAAGCCCCAGACCGCCACCAGGUAUUCAAAUCGGGCCCUGCAGUUCAUAAAGCCGACCCUGGUCAUGGAAAGUGGUGUCUUUUUUAAACUUGUGGUUGGUGUGGAACAGUAUCCCCAAUUGCAAACCAGCAGAGCAAUGCUGAGAGAAAGAUGAUUUUUUUUCCCCUCCAAAGAAUGUGUGAUCCAGAGUAUUUACGUAUUCUAAACAGUUUCUUUUUAUUAGUUGUUGAACAGAAUUUGUAUUUAUUGCUUAUAUAAUUUCCUGCAUGCAAUUAAUGUAUUUUUCUUUAGUUAAUCUAGUAUAUCUGCUUGUUUUAACCAACACCUCAAUGUAAAAAUAAGCCAGCCUUGUGGCUAAUUAUAAAGUUAUUCUAUUUAUCACCUUCUUUUAAGCCAGUUGAAACAGUCUCACACUUCCUGUGUGCCAAAUACACUCUUGUUGCCUUCUUCUGAAAACCCUUCCUGUUUGUGUCAGCACCUUCCCGUACCUUGCCUGUUGCUCCAUGUAUUUGUCUGUUAGACUAAAUGCCAGAACAGGGGCUUUGUUUUUUUGACAUGUAUGUAUUUAGCUGUAGAGCUGUAACUCAGUAUAGCACAACGGUUGAAAGGAUUAAACGAUGGGGUUGGUUUACAACUAGGUAGUGAAGUACUCCUCUGACUGGGUAACUUAAGUAAAGUCAAUGGCCUGGUAUUAAAACCUUCAGCUUGGAUCUGUUAAUUCCUGGAAGAAAAGGCUGUCAUAGUGAGAUAGAAUAGUAUCGGUAUCACAUCACUCAUGGGACUGAGUAGUCUGUUGCUUAUAAAUCAGACAUCAAUUUUAUAUCUAAAAAUCAUCGAGGUAGGAAUCGCAUGAUAAAGUGGUGCCCUGGGACAAUUAGUACGUUUCAGCAGCUGGGCUACAUCAAAGGCUUCCAUUGCUGACUCUUGAUCUUACACAGUACUCAGAACUGGUAUGUAAAUCUUUUUGGUGUUCUAUUUUCCCCCUCCCCUGAUCCUUUGUAGUCCACAUUCAUCACACUUUUUCCAAGGGGAAGGGGGUUGUCAGGGUGGCUGGGACAAUGGCUAUGGGCGUUGGCUCUCAUUUCAUAAGUUCCACUGAAGAAUUCUUUACACCAACCCCUUCUGGAGUGUUGGGGCAACUUAAAAGUGUCCAAAAAAAAUUUUUUUUUUUUUUGCAGUGCCCAGUCAGAAAAAUGCAAAUUUCUUGUGAAAGCUUCAAAACUCCUAUGUGAAAAACCUGGUUAAAGUGUAAGCCUAAACUAUCUAUUUUACAGGUCAAAGUACUCAGCAAGUAUAAGAGGAAUGUGCAAAAAGGGCAAUUUAACACCUCGUUGGAGUCAGCCACUUGACAUCUGAACAUGAACUCAGCUUUUCAUGUGACUCUUUACUGUGCUUUAUGACUUUAAAAGAGAGACACAGUCCUUCCACACAGACAGCUUUAAGUCAUGUUGUCUUCUUUAUUGAUAUCAAAAGAUAAAAGGAGCAACAUGCAUUCAGAAGAAUCAUACAAAGGUUCUUAUCCAGCAGAGAGACUGAUGGUCUGUCUGCUUUCAGGUUGAAACUGAUGCCAGGGAAAGGAAGUCAGUGUAGAAGCAGGCCUGAGAUGACCUAUAACAGUUGCAAAGAAGAGCCUACCACUGCAGAAAAGUCAAUGGUGCUUGCUUUUCAUUUUUUAAAGUUAUACUUGUUCAUUCCUCCAUGAUAAUCACGCAUUAUUAAAAUGUCAAUGGGAAA